GAUGAACGCUGGCGGCGUGCCUAACACGUGCAAGUCGAGCGAUUCUCUUCGGAGAAGAGCGGCGGACGGGUGAGUAACGCGUGGGUAACCUGCCCUGUACACACGGAUAACAUACCGAAAGGUAUGCUAAUACGAGAUAAUAUGCUUUUAUCGCAUGGUAGAAGUAUCAAAGCUUUUGCGGUACAGGAUGGACCCGCGUCUGAUUAGCUAGUUGGUAAGGUAAUGGCUUACCAAGGCGACGAUCAGUAGCCGACCUGAGAGGGUGAUCGGCCACAUUGGAACUGAGACACGGUCCAAACUCCUACGGGAGGCAGCAGUGGGGAAUAUUGCACAAUGGGCGAAAGCCUGAUGCAGCAACGCCGCGUGAGCGAUGAAGGCCUUCGGGUCGUAAAGCUCUGUCCUCAAGGAAGAUAAUGACGGUACUUGAGGAGGAAGCCCCGGCUAACUACGUGCCAGCAGCCGCGGUAA
rnacentral:rRNA from 1 species